CAGCCGCCGCGGGAAUACGGAGGGGGCUAGCGUUGUUCGGAAUUACUGGGCGUAAAGCGCACGUAGGCGGCUUGGUAAGUUAGAGGUGAAAGCCUGGAGCUCAACCCCAGAAUUGCCUUUAAGACUGCCGAGCUAGCAGGUGAGAGAGGUAAGUGGAAUUCCGAGUGUAGAGGUGAAAUUCGUAGAUAUUCGGAAGAACACCAGUGGCGAAGGCGGCUUACUGGCUCAUACUGGACGCUGAGGUGCGAAGGCGUGGGGAGCAAACAGGAUUAGAUACCCCCGUAGUCCCUGUCUCUUAUAC
rnacentral:rRNA from 1 species